UGAACGCUGGCGGCAUGCCUUACACAUGCAAGUCGAACGGUAACAGGUCUUCGGAUGCUGACGAGUGGCGAACGGGUGAGUAAUACAUCGGAACGUGCCCAGACGUGGGGGAUAACGAGGCGAAAGCUUUGCUAAUACCGCAUACGAUCUAAGGAUGAAAGCAGGGGACCGCAAGGCCUUGCGCGUUUGGAGCGGCCGAUGGCAGAUUAGGUAGUUGGUGGGAUAAAAGCUUACCAAGCCGACGAUCUGUAGCUGGUCUGAGAGGACGACCAGCCACACUGGGACUGAGACACGGCCCAGACUCCUACGGGAGGCAGCAGUGGGGAAUUUUGGACAAAGGGCGAAAGCCUGAUCCAGCAAUGCCGCGUGCAGGAUGAAGGCCUUCGGGUUGUAAACUGCUUUUGUACGGAACGAAAAGGCUCUGGCUAAUACCUGGGGCACAUGACGGUACCGUAAGAAUAAGCACCGGCUAACUACGUG
rnacentral:rRNA from 1 species